rnacentral:rRNA from 1 species
CUACGGGUGGCUGCAGUGAGGAAUAUUGCACAAUGGGGGGAACCCUGAUGCAGCAACGCCGCGUGGAGGAUGACGCAUUUCGGUGUGUAAACUCCUUUUAUAUGUCAAGAAAAUGACGGUAGCAUAUGAAUAAGCACCGGCUAACUCCGUGCCAGCAGCCGCGGUAAUACGGAGGGUGCAAGCGUUACUCGGAAUCACUGGGCGUAAAGGACGCGUAGGCGGGUUGGAAAGUCAGGUGUGAAAUCCUACAGCUUAACUGUAGAACUGCACUUGAAACUUCUAAUCUAGAGUAUGGGAGGGGCAGAUGGAAUUAGUGGUGUAGGGGUAAAAUCCGUAGAUAUCACUAGGAAUACCUAAAGCGAAGGCGAUCUGCUGGAACAUAACUGACGCUAAGGCGUGAAAGCGUGGGGAGCAAACAGGAUUAGAUACCCGCUGUAGUC